UCCGCGUGAGUGAAGAAGGCCUUCGGGUUGUAAAGCUCUUUCGCAAGGGAAGAAAACUUAUGAUCGAAUAAAUCAUGAGGUUGACGGUACCUUGAUAAGAAGCACCGGCUAACUACGUGCCAGCAGCCGCGGUAAUACGUAGGGUGCGAGCGUUAAUCGGAAUUACUGGGCGUAAAGCGUGCGCAGGCGGUUUUGUAAGUCGGAUGUGAAAUCCCCGGGCUCAACCUGAGAACUGCGUUCGAAACUGCAAGGCUAGAGUGUGUCAGAGGGGGGUAGAAUUCCACGUGUAGCAGUGAAAUGCGUAGAGAUGUGGAGGAAUACCAAUGGCGAAGGCAGCCCCCUGGGAUAACACUGACGCUCAUGCACGAAAGCGUGGGGAGCAAACAGGAUUAGAUACCCUGGUAGUCCACGCCCUAAACGAUGUCAACUAGUUGUUGGUACAGUAAAAUCUAUGAGUAACGUAGCUUAACGCGUGAAGUUGACCGCCUGGGGAGUACGGACGCACGAAUAAAACUCAAAGGACUUGAACGGGGCCCGAACAAGCGGGGGCAUCAUGUGGAUUCAUU
rnacentral:rRNA from 1 species